AAACAAACUGCCCACCCCUUCUCUGACUCUUGAGCGAGGGCUAGGUCUCCUGCACCCGCCGCCGCCACAUAUGAUCUCCGGCGACAGGAGAUCCUGCCCUCCGGUGGAUUGGCUUCACCCUCCCCCGUAUCCCCACCGUAUCCCCAGUCCCUUCGCCGCUUUCCCGCACACUGUCCCGACGCCACUCCCACCCACGCCCACCGAUGCUGCCCCUCCCACCUCGCCCCUCCCCCGUCCCCAAAUCCGCGCCGACGCCACUCUCACAUGAGCCCCUGGUGGGUACUGCUCCUUCCUCCUCGCCCCGCCCAUGUCCCCAAAUCCUCCCCGGCGCCACUCCCCGAGGAGCCCUGGUGGGUCGCUACCCGACACCUUUUUUGCCUCGAAUUCAAUCGUGGGUUCACCCGGGUGUGCCUCUUUCUCCAUGUGUUUUGAGUUUUGAGUUCCAGGCGAGGAUUGUGCCCGGGGGGAUCCAGACGACGUCGCGGUGCACCCGACCGAGGACGAGCUCGUGUGUGCCACGGCCAAGGGGUGCAGAUUGUGAAAUCUUGGUGCCAUCUAGGUGAAAUGUCUGUUCAAGCACUGUCCAGCAGUUUGAGAUCUCGGUCAAUGUGGAGGUGCCCUGCCAUGACAUGAUGUUAGAUGCAGCAACUACGACUAUGGUUGCGUCUGUGGCUGGCAAAAAAGGCAGCCGAGACAUCCUUGGAGUAAAGUUUACAAGGUAAUCAUGAGCUGAUUUUCUAAUGUGCGUGAUGUCACACUGGAGAAUGUUGGUGGUCUUGAUUUGUUGAAGAAACAAAUUGACUGGUGCAUUCUUCACUGUAUAAAGCACCCCAAUGUUUACAAGGUAAUCACAUAAGUUGUGUUAUGCGCCAUGUUCUUCUGUUUGUUGUGUUAUCUGGUCAUCACAGUGAUUAGUAGUUUAAAAGUUUAAGUGACCUCUGAAUUCGUCCUAAAGGUGGUCUAUAGACAUUUGUGCUUCUUAUAUGCAUUUUAUAAGUUGUAGCAGGGCACCUGAAUGCUUAAAAUACUAAGUAUUCAUAAUUGUUUUCAUGCUCCCCUUUUUUUUGUCUGCCUUUGAAGGAUUUGAGUGAACUUGCAAGUUGGUUUCUGCUGUUUGGACCUUCAGGCUAUGGAAAGACACAAAUGGCAAUUGGUUUUGAGAUUGUCAUAUUAUUAAUGCUAGAUUUCUUUUUUGUAUAGAAUGUUGAGAUGUUACCUUUUCCUGAGCUGUUGAACAAGUAUAUUGGGGAGAGUGAAUCAGGAGCACACUGGCGGAUCAGGAACGAGUGGUGCUGGAUGGACGAGAACUACGCUUCAAUUGCAUCAGAAGCACACUGGCAAGGAUGGCUCCUCCCAGUUUGAGAGAUUCGCGUGGUGAUCACUGAUACACAGCUGCAGCCAGAGGUGUUGUCCAUAGGUGAAGCAUCAACCUGCCAUUUGUGAGCCGUUAGGAGCUGCUGCGUCGCACUGCCAGAGUGAUCGCCGUCGUUGUUUGCCGGAGCAGAGCCAUGCCUGUCAUGCGCGUCUCGCUGGAUUAAAGCCACGGCUGUAGUCAAACACACUGACAACGGUGCUAUGAGGAAUGAAGGACAACCUGGACGUUGGAUGUCAGGGCAGGGUUGAGGUAGAGGAACUUGAAUGUAUCUUCGAGCAGGACGGCGGUCAGUCAGUUCGGCCUGGGUGCUGAGUGUCGACCCUCUCGUGUGCAACAACUGUAGGAUGACGUAGAGCUUCAAGAUGGGGCGAUAGCAGGAUGUUGCGGAGCUUGGUGAGAUCGAGGCCAUGUUGUGGAGGCAGGCUGGACGGCUAGAGGACAGACUGGACCAGAGGUACGGCGAGGGUAGCAUGGCCUGGUUUUGCGAGAUGUUAGGCUCAAAUGAAGGCCAAUUAGUAGUGCAAAAAAUAAAUGAAUAGUUAAGAACAGAGAUGCAUGUUGCUUCACGCGCAUUGGAUCAUUUCCGAGGUUCUGGGAGAGGGGAUUAUGAGUGGCGAUAGGUAUGCAUAUGUAAAUGCCAGUUGGUUGACAAGAACGGAAUGUGUGUGUCAGACUGAUUGCUACAAGUUCAAAAUGAAUUUACCAUGUUACCAAGAGGUGGUACAGAAAAAACGCUUUCUUGUACGCGGUACCUCAAAGUUUCCCCCCUGCUUUUUAA